rnacentral:rRNA from 1 species
UAGAGUUUGAUCCUGGCUCAGAUUGAACGCUGGCGGCAGGCCUAACACAUGCAAGUCGAGCGGUAACAUUUCUAGCUUGCUAGAAGAUGACGAGCGGCGGACGGGUGAGUAAUGCUUGGGAACAUGCCUUGAGGUGGGGGACAACAGUUGGAAACGACUGCUAAUACCGCAUAAUGUCUACGGACCAAAGGGGGCUUCGGCUCUCGCCUUUAGAUUGGCCCAAGUGGGAUUAGCUAGUUGGUGAGGUAAUGGCUCACCAAGGCGACGAUCCCUAGCUGGUUUGAGAGGAUGAUCAGCCACACUGGGACUGAGACACGGCCCAGACUCCUACGGGAGGCAGCAGUGGGGAAUAUUGCACAAUGGGCGCAAGCCUGAUGCAGCCAUGCCGCGUGUGUGAAGAAGGCCUUCGGGUUGUAAAGCACUUUCAGUCAGGAGGAAAGGUUAGUAGUUAAUACCUGCUAGCUGUGACGUUACUGACAGA